rnacentral:rRNA from 1 species
CUACGGGUCGCCCCAGUGGGGAAUAUUGCACAAUGGGGGAAACCCUGAUGCAGCAACGCCGCGUGGAGGAUGACGCAUUUCGGUGUGUAAACUCCUUUUAUAUAGGAAGAUAAUGACGGUACUAUAUGAAUAAGCACCGGCUAACUCCGUGUGCAGCAGCCGCGGUAAUACGGAGGGUGCAAGCGUUACUCGGAAUCACUGGGCGUAAAGCGCGCGCAGGCGGCCUUUUAAGUUGGAUGUGAAAGCCUAUGGCUUAACCAUAGAACUGCAUCCAAAACUAUCAGGCUAGAGUCUGGGAGGGGAAGAUGGAAUUAGUUGUGUAGGGGUAAAAUCCGUAGAGAUAACUAGGAAUACCAAAAGCGAAGGCGAUCUUCUGGAACAGUACUGACGCUGAGGCGCGAAAGCGUGGGGAGCAAACAGGAUUAGAUACCCUCGUAGUC